AGGAAACGGUAACAAUAGUAGAUUCAGAAACAUCGCUGGAUCGGAUAGGAAACUUAGAGGUGCAAAUUAUCGAUGCACGACGUGGAAAAACACAGAAUAUGCUUUUCAAUUCUUGCGGGAAAUUUAAAUCAGCUCUUGGUUAGAGGUUAUUGAAAUCUCAAGAUUUUUCGCUUUAUCUGGACACGAGGAGGAGAAAGCGGUCGAACCGGAGUGCCCUGACGAGUAGGAGGGCUUUCCAUCAUGCCGAAGGAUCGAUUGAACGAGUGCAGAACACAAACGUAGUUUUGUAAUGGAGAACGUACUUCGACAAGGAAUGGUGGGAAUGCAACGAUAUAAAUAAGUGAAAUGAAAGUGGAUCUACGUACAGUGCAUGAACGGAAAACCCGGACUAUUCUUAUUUAAUCGAUAACACAACUUUCAGCAGAUUCAUCAAAUCUGCAGACAGAGAAAGCGGCCGAGCUCGACAUAUAUAGAUUUGCAUACAGGAUCGAGAAAUUAAAUGCACCGUAAAUAGCGUGUAACUUUCUGAACGAGUCUUAUCUGAGUACUUACAAGAUCUGCAAUGAAUUCUUCGAUUAUUCGAAGACAUUCCGACUCGCUGGUUAUUUCGGGUUGUCGAUAAUUUAUACGUCAGAUGUUAUUUAUACUUGAAAAUUGAAUCACCUGGGGCAUGACGAUUGGCGC